rnacentral:rRNA from 1 species
CCUACGGGUGGCAGCAGUGAGGAAUAUUGGUCAAUGGCCGUAAGGCUGAACCAGCCAAGUCGCGUGAAGGAAGAAGGAUCUAUGGUUUGUAAGCUUCUUUUAUAGGGGAAUAAAGGUAUCCACGUGUGGAUAUUUGCAUGUACCCUAUGAAUAAGCAUCGGCUAACUACGUGCCAGCAGCCGCGGUAAUACGGAGGAUGCGAGCGUUAUCCGGAUUUAUUGGGUUUAAAGGGUGCGUAGGUUGUUUAUUAAGUCAGCGGUGAAAGUUUGUGGCUCAACCAUAAAAGUGCCGUUGAGACUGGAAGACUUGAGUGUGGUUGAGGUAAGCGGAAUGCGUGGUGGAGCGGGGAAAUGCAGAGAUAUCACGAAGAACCCCGAUUGCGAAGGCAGCUUA